GAAAUGCGAUAAGUAAUGUGAAUUGCAGAAUUCAGUGAAUCAUCGAAUCUUUGAACGCAUCUUGCGCUCCUUGGUAUUCAUUGGAGCAUGCCUGUUUGAGUAUCAUGAAAUCUUCAAAGUAAAUCUUUUGUUAACUCAAUUGGUUUCUACUUUGGUAUUGGAGGUCUUUGCAGCUUCACACCUGCUCCUCUUUGUUCAUUAGCUGGAUCUCAGUGUUAUGCUUGGUUCCACUCGGCGUGAUAAGUUAUCUAUCGCUGAGGACACUGUAAAAGGUGGCCAAGGUAAAUGCAGAUGAACCGCUUCUAAUAGUCCAUUGACUUGGACAAUACUUUUAUGAUCUGAUCUCAAAUCAGGUAGGACUACCCGCUUAACUUAAGC
rnacentral:misc_RNA from 1 species